ACGCACGCUGGCGGCGUGCUUCACACAUGCAAGUCGAACGCUGAAGCUCAGCUUUUGUUGGGUGGAUGAGUGGCGAACGGGUGAGUAACACGUGAGUAACCUGCCCCCUUCUUUGGGAUAACGCCCGGAAACGGGUGCUAAUACUGGAUAUUCACUGGUCUUCGCAUGGGGGUUGGUGGAAAGGGUUUUUCUGGUGGGGGAUGGGCUCGCGGCCUAUCAGCUUGUUGGUGGGGUGAUGGCCUACCAAGGCUUUGACGGGUAGCCGGCCUGAGAGGGUGACCGGUCACAUUGGGACUGAGAUACGGCCCAGACUCCUACGGGAGGCAGCAGUGGGGAAUAUUGCACAAUGGGCGCAAGCCUGAUGCAGCGACGCCGCGUGAGGGAUGGAGGCCUUCGGGUUGUGAACCUCUUUCGCUCAUGGUCAAGCCGCAACAAUGGUUGUGGUGAGGGUAGUGGGUAAAGAAGCGCCGGCUAACUACGUG
rnacentral:rRNA from 1 species